CCAAGGCCGGGAGCCAGAGCCUAGGGGAGCCGUCGUCUCCGCCCCCGCACUGUCGGGGGGCGGGCCCAAGAGUGCUGGCCAGGCCUUGCAAGUGCGAGUGUCCGCGAGCUGCAGGGGAGGCAGGACGCGUCACACUCGCGGGGGCGUUCCGAGUCCCUGGGGCGCGCCGGCGGGGAGGGAGAGAAGGAGUCUGAGCACCCGCUGGGCGCGGCACUGGGCAGAGGCGCGCGUGUUGCCGGUGUACUGAAGCUGCCCGCGACCGGCGGGAGCGGCGUUUCUCGCUUCCUCGGGGUCCGGUACUCGAAGCGCACGGCAGUCUGACCUCGGCUGGGAAGCGUUAAGCCCCAGCAGAGGGCUGGGAGGGAGUGCAGGAGCACUUGCGGGGUCUGCGCAGAAUACACAGAAGAUCGGGGCAACGAGCAAAGCAAAGCAACUCACCAAACAAUGAAGUUAGGAGAACCCAAUCCCGUGAAAUGAGCGGAACAAGGGAAUAACAGUGCAAAGGCAGCUUGAACAGGCACUACUUCAAUCCCUAAACUUCUCAUGGCAUGGAUUCCUAGGAAAGAGGAUCUUAACUCCUACAGUUUUUCUUUCAAGCUGUAAACUCUGCAGCCACCUUGGUCCUGGGAAUAUGCAUCUCAAACAUGCAAAUGACCCUUGAUUGGAUGGACCUAGGGAAGAUGCCUGAUCAAGCCCUGGAAGCGAGUUAUGGGACCAACAUUUGAGCAGGAAAUUUCAUGAUCUCAGGUACCUGGAAGGUGGUCUAGAAUGGAGGGGUAAUGGGGUCUGGGUGAAUAGUGCCCUGAGGGUGUCUCACCUGUGGUAAGGUAUGUGACAAGAGGAAGACUAGAGUGGGCCCUAUAAAUCUUGGGAGGCCAGUAUCCUAUUAAUUACUGUGCUGCUCAGCAUUGCUUGUUCAAAUUACUCCUUUUAAUUGCUUCCAGCAUUUGGACAGAAUACAUACAUAUGUGUGUGUGUGUGUGUGUGUGUGUGUGUGUGUGUGUUUGGUUUAGCAGUUUGCUGUGUUCCCUGUUGCUAGAUUGCUGAGUAGGAGAGUUGAUAAGUUUGCUGUCGCUACGUAGCAACUGGACCAUCACGUUUGUUCCUUUAAGUGCAAGUCUAAUCUUGCUUGUCAGUUACCCCCAGUUAAUUUUGUGGUUUAAAAGCUACUUCUUCCCAUUUCUAAUUUUAGUGUCAGCAUUUUGAUACAGUUUCAGUUUACAUAGAGCCUAGAGUUCCUUAACAGAAAACAGAUUAACACCCUCAAUUCUAGAAUUGAGCCAUAGAGCUUUGCUAAUUGUUUAGUUCCUGUUUGUGGGGCCAUUGUAUGUGGGGAACACUAUGUGAUGGUUAAUUUUAUGUGUCGACUUGACUAGGCCAUGGGAUGCCCAGGUAGCUGGUUAAACAUGAUGGCGGGGUAUGUCUGUGAAAGUGUUUCUGGAGGAGAUUAGUGUUUGAGUUGAUGGACUGAGUAAAGCACAUGCCCUUCUCAGUGUUGGUGGGCUUCAUGCAAUCCAUUAGGGCUUGAAUAGACUAAAAAAGUAGGGGAAGGUGAAAUUCACUCUCUGCCUCACUGCAUGAGUGGGGACAUUGAUCUCCUGCCGCUGACACUUAUGGUUUUCAGGCCUUCAGACCAGGACUGGAAUCUACACCACUGGCUCUUCAGCUCCCAGACUUUCAAACUUUGUCACCAGCUUUACUGGGUCUCCAGCUUGUACAUGACAGAUUGUGGGACUUCUCAGCCUCCACAAUUGCAUGAGUUGAUACUUUAUAAUAAAUAUCUUUAUGUAUAUCCAUCCUACUGGCUGUUUCUCUGGCAAACCCUGACUAAUAUACACUUCUUAAAGUCUAAAGUUCAUAGUGUUCAUUUAUG
rnacentral:lncRNA from 1 species